AGUGAACGCUGGCGGUAGGCCUAACACAUGCAAGUCGAACGGCAGCACAGUAAGAGCUUGCUCUUACGGGUGGCGAGUGGCGGACGGGUGAGGAAUACAUCGGAAUCUAUUUUUUCGUGGGGGAUAACGUAGGGAAACUUACGCUAAUAUCGCAUACGACCUACGGGUGAAAGCAUGGGAUCUUCGGACCUUGCGCGAUUGAAUGAGCCGAUGUCGGAUUAGCUAGUUGGCGGGGUAAAGGCCCACCAAGGCGACGAUCCGUAGCUGGUCUGAGAGGAUGAUCAGCCACACUGGAACUGAGACACGGUCCAGACUCCUACGGGAGGCAGCAGUGGGGAAUAUUGGACAAUGGGCGCAAGCCUGAUCCAGCCAUACCGCGUGGGUGAAGAAGGCCUUCGGGUUGUAAAGCCCUUUUGUUGGGAAAGAAAAGCAGCAGGUUAAUACCCCGCUGUUCUGACGGUACCCAAAGAAUAAGCACCGGCUAACUUCGUG
rnacentral:rRNA from 1 species